AUUGAACGCUGGCGGCAGGCCUAACACAUGCAAGUCGAGCGACCGGCGGACGGGUGAGUAAUGCAUGGGGACUGCCCGAUAGAGGGGGAUAACUACUGGAAACGGUGGCUAAUACCGCUUACUAUCGGAUAACCCAUAUGGGAUUAGCUAGUAGGUGGGGUAAAGACUCACCUAGGCGACGAUCUCUAGCUGGUCUGAGAGGCUGAUCAGCCACACGGGGCCUGGGACACGGCCCCGACUCCUACGGAGGCAGCAGUGGGGAAUGUUGCACAAUGGGCGCAAGCCUGGUGCAUCCAUGCCGCGUGUAUGAAGAGGGCCUUAGGGUUGGAAAGUUCUUUCAGCGGGGAGGCGUUACCCGCAGGAAAAACACCGGCUAACUCCGUGCCAGCAGGCGCGGUAAUUC
rnacentral:rRNA from 1 species